AAAAAAAAUUUAUGAUUUACAUGUACAUCAAAACGAGAUAUUUCGACAUUUUUCCUCCUUUGUGUUAUCAUUUAGCUAAAUUAAAUCUAACAAAGAGGAAUGGGAAAACGCGGCGGCUUAACAGGUGGUGAGAACGGUGGACUUUGGACAUCAACGGUGAGGUUCUCUGGCCGAGGUGGUGCACACGGACACGGCAAUGCUAUAAAUUUAGGCGUAUUAUCUCCAGGCAUCACCACCGUUAUGCUUAGAUCCUGGGGUUUCUUCACAUCCUGUUCACAAUAGUUAUUUUUAGUUCAUAAUCAACUCACUAGAUUUAUAUUUAUAUUUUAUUUUUUACUUUCUACUUACUAACUAAAUUUUCAAAAUUCAACUUCUGGUCCUUAAUAAAUUACAAUUUCAUCAAGAUAGUAAUGUAUUCCAUAUGCUUUCACUUACUUUUCGAUUUCUAAAAUAUUUAUAAGAAACCCUAUUUUGUAUUUACUCGAAAAAAACGUGAACUUUUUUUAUUAAAUUUAAUAGUAACUAAAAUCUUUCAAACAUACGAGUUUUAAAUCCUCGAUGAGAAAUGGAAAUAAAAUGUUGUGGCAAAUAUGUUUUCCCUUUUUUUGUGUUGGUAAAAUCGAAAUUUAUAAUAAUUUCAGAAAAUGGGAGAGGAGACUAUACCGGAAAAGGGGGUCUAGGUUUGAACGGAGAGGACUCUAUGUCGGCGGAGGGAUGACCAGAGGCAUUGGCCAAAGAACGGCGGAGCGAGCGAUGUUUGUCCCAAUGGUAACAGCAAGAGAAUAUCCCGGAAAGGCUGAAAAUGAUUAUGAGAAGCAGAGCUGUGCCGAGAGGGAAUCCUAGUGACGGCCGAGAAGCGUCCAUGUGAGGCGGCGAGGAUCCUUGAGUGUUCUCCAUCUAAGCUGGCGAUAUAACCGAAGGCUGAGAUUGUGAGAUGAGUUUGUUCUCUCAUGCGUUAGACAGAUAAACAGAGAGAAGAGAGAGGGAACUUGUGUGAGUUUGGAGAAGACAGGGGACGGGGAAGGAGAGGAGAUAUUGAGCGCUUAUUUAUAAAAGAAAAUUUUCACUUUUAAUUUAAUUUAUCUUACUACUAUUAUAAAUUUAUGGCCUCAGUAGAAAAAAAAAAGCAAAAAUGCUGUACAAUAAAGUUGUCACUUAUCUUUUUCCAUUGAAAAUUUUAUUCCCGUUAGCUAUUAUAUUAUUAAAGGAUGAAUUUCUUAAAAAAAUGCAUAAGGAUUUUAUAUGUUUCUUGACUUUGCUGAACCAUUUCUAUUUUAUAAUUUGUGAUGUUGCGGUAGAUAUUAUAAAUGAACUUAUACUGAAAAAAUAAGUUUCACUGUCUGAGCUAGAAUUAUUUUUUAAGUGAAAUAUCAUUAGUCUAAUAUGUUAAGUUAGCAAAAAAUUUAUUCGUUAGAAAUGUUGAUAGGCAUAAUAUUUGAGAUAUUUACACAAAACAAAAUUUUGGAAGUAAACUUUUGGUAUCAUUAUUCAUGUUUACUUUUCCGAUUUAUAAACAAUUAUUUAAAUAAAUAAUUAAAAGAAUUUUAUUUUCGAGUUAUACAUUUUUUAAAUUUGAAAAUUUUCAUACAAAAUUAUUUUUAUUCGAAUUUUCUUAAGAAACUAUUUUUAAAAUUUCAUUUAUUUAUUAAAACCCUAAACUUCAGCCUCUAAAAUCACAGCUCUCAAAUUUAAACAAAAGUCUAGAUUAUUUAACAUUAGAGUUAUAAAUAUUUAUUUAUCUGUUUAAAACUAAAGAUAAAUGUAGUUAAAGCAAACAUGAAAAGUGAUACUAAGAAUAUGCUAAUUUAAGCAAUUUCUAAAUUUUUAAGUAUAAAAAAACAAACCAACAUGAGAUUAAUAAUAUUAUAAAUAAUAUAAUAAGAUGAAAGAAUUUAGUUAACAAUCAUUUUUUAACUGGCUUUCUAUAUUUUUUUGUGUUUUUAUCAAUACACCCUUAUGUUUUCUUAAAAGGAUAUAACAACAUAUAUUGUGACCUGAAACAACAUAUAAGAGUAUCUCCAACUAUUUAUAUAUCAUAAAGUAGAUUUAUUGAAAUAUAUGAUUCUAUAAUAAUUUGUUUUUAUUUAUAUGAGUAAAUGUAGAAAAUGUUAUUUUACCUCUAUAUAUAAUAAUUGAAAUAGCUUUUUCUUUAUUUUCUUUAUAAAUAAUGAGACUCUAUUUUAAAUAUAUACAUUUCUAUAGAUGGACUGAAGAGAAUUUACCUAAUAAUGAAAUUAUGUUUUUGGAUAGUCUUUGAAUGUACAUGGAAAGAGGAGAGAGGGAGGCUGCCUGUUUACUUGACACAAGCACUGAUUACUUUGCAUUUUUCGUUUUUUCUAAAAAUAUACUAUAUGGAACUCUCCAAGCAUUUUUUUUUCUUUUUAUCACGAUGACUCUCUGCAAGCAUUUAAUAACUCAUUCGAGAGUGAAUUUAGUUAGUUCUAACAUUUUCUGGUACUAUUAUUUAUGUCGUUUGAUGGGUCUGAUAUUUGAAACUUGAUAUGAUAAAAAAAGAGCUUUGAUUCGAACUUUCGACCUGACCUAAUUUAUUUAACAUUUGGUGUUCUCUUUUUUGUUGUUGUAUAAUUGAUAAUUAGUGGACUUGAGCAAAAGGUAAAUCUCUAUCGAUCAGAUUCGGAAGUAUUUGGAUUAGAAUAUUAGGAUAAACCAAUGCAUUAUAAAACUGAUAUUCAAUUUAAAAUGACAAAUCAGCAAAGUAUAAGAAUAAUAUGUAUAUGUAUAACAGUGAAUUUAGGUCAUGAAGUGGAUUGUUAAAUUGGAGGGGUCAGUGGUGGGGAUGUGUUUUGAGCACUUGGUUAAGAAACUUGCUAGUGACGUCAAUUUUGGAUUCAUAACUUUAGUGCCAAAUUUAUGAAGUUUUUUAUAUUUUGAGUGACUCGAACUUUUUUUCUUUCUUUUUUUGUGUAAAAGUGACUCGAACUUUAUUAAAACAAAAUGGUUAUGACCGAAAUAAGGGUCGUAAUUAACGGAGAGCUAUAUUGUUAUCUUCGUCCGUCCAUACUGUAAAUGUAAUAAUUAAUUAGCUCUUAUAGAAUGUUUACUAUGUUCAAUGAUUAAUCAUGAGGUUUCUUGUUAUGACGCACAAGCUUUGCAAUUUAAUUGAUAUGCUUGUUUUCCAUUUAAAGUAUCAAGCGUGGUUACAGAAAACACCUUUUUAAAAUUGGACUACUAAUAAAGAACGGAAAUGUGAAUAUAAAUACAAUCUGCGCUAUUUCUGGUACAAUUCAAACAAAUCUCGAGAUAUCCUAAAUUAGUAGUAAUCUAUAGUAUUAUUUUGGUAAAAACAACAGUAUUACAAUAAAAAUAUAAUAGUUUUUUUCGGUUAACGUCUAUUUCAUACAGUAAGUAUUUGUAAUUUUCUAUAGCCAAAGGACAUAUAAUUGAAUCAGGACAUCGACAUCGAAAAUAUCGUCCGACGAAACGUGCCAUGUGUUUUGUUGUUGCAUACAGCAUUCAUAGAUAAAUAAUAGCUCAAAUCGAUGAAUAAUAUUCACCAUUAAAAACAAAAUAACCAUGUAGUUUUACCUCAGUUUUAAGUGUGCGAGUUUAUAAUUUUUUUUAACCAAUCAAACAAUCAUGUUUUAAAAGAAUAACAUCUAACUACAUCAUUAGUUGAUUAAUAUAAGUGUCAUUCUCUAUAAAAAUUUCACACAAUCAAACCACUUCAUAAUGUUGCCAACUGAAUACAUAAAUAAUAAAUCAGAGAACAAAAUUAAAUUUAUAAUAGUUUCAAAAAAAAUUUAUGAUUUACAUGUACAUCAAAACGAGAUAUUUCGACAUUUUUCCUCCUUUGUGUUAUCAUUUAGCUAAAUUAAAUCUAACAAAGAGGAAUGGGAAAACGCGGCGGCUUAACAGGUGGUGAGAACGGUGGACUUUGGACAUCAACGGUGAGGUUCUCUGGCCGAGGUGGUGCACACGGACACGGCAAUGCUAUAAAUUUAGGCGUAUUAUCUCCAGGCAUCACCACCGUUAUGCUUAGAUCCUGGGGUUUCUUCACAUCCUGUUCACAAUAGUUAUUUUUAGUUCAUAAUCAACUCACUAGAUUUAUAUUUAUAUUUUAUUUUUUACUUUCUACUUACUAACUAAAUUUUCAAAAUUCAACUUCUGGUCCUUAAUAAAUUACAAUUUCAUCAAGAUAGUAAUGUAUUCCAUAUGCUUUCACUUACUUUUCGAUUUCUAAAAUAUUUAUAAGAAACCCUAUUUUGUAUUUACUCGAAAAAAACGUGAACUUUUUUUAUUAAAUUUAAUAGUAACUAAAAUCUUUCAAACAUACGAGUUUUAAAUCCUCGAUGAGAAAUGGAAAUAAAAUGUUGUGGCAAAU
rnacentral:lncRNA from 1 species